GGAAUAUUGGACAAUGGGGGCAACCCUGAUCCAGCAAUGCCGCGUGUGUGAAGAAGGUCUUCGGAUUGUAAAGCACUUUCGACGGGGACGAUGAUGACGGUACCCGUAGAAGAAGCCCCGGCUAACUUCGUGCCAGCAGCCGCGGUAAUACGAAGGGGGCUAGCGUUGCUCGGAAUGACUGGGCGUAAAGGGCGUGUAGGCGGUUUACACAGUCAGAUGUGAAAUCCCCGGGCUUAACCUGGGAGCUGCAUUUGAUACGUGUAGACUAGAGUGUGAGAGAGGGUUGUGGAAUUCCCAGUGUAGAGGUGAAAUUCG
rnacentral:rRNA from 1 species